rnacentral:lncRNA from 1 species
GACACUUAGCUCCUUCCACCAAAGAAAAAGAAGCUCGUGACUGAACUAAUCAUCCUCAAGGAUUGUACCCACAUGCGCUAGCUUCUUUAGAAUCUAUCAAUGGCGAGUCCUGAAUCUGCUGUUGAAAACGGAACCUUCAUAAUAGACUCGUGUUUGUUCCUGCCAGUCGCCUGGAAACUACAAAUUAAGCUUCGCUGUAAAUGUUUUUCUUGGGUUGAGUUUUUUUUGGACUCUGGGACUGCAAGACUAAGAAAGAUGGCUGGCUACGAGUC